GCCCAGGCCAGCCGACCCUAAGUUAAAACACUCCACUACCACCAUCUUCUCCCAUUCUCCCUCAGCUCCCUUACUCUGUUGCUCAACCAGUAGUGCCUGCCGCCGCAACUCAACCUUGCUACUGCCGAUUCUUCUUCAUAGCCGCCGCCACCACCAUCAAGCAUCACCUCGCUCCCUCAGCCCUCAGCAAUUCCAAUGGCUUUUAAUUCGCUGAAGGAUUCACCUACUGGGAUAGGUGGCACGGAGGUCACUGUGACGUGUUGUGGAAUGAAACGUACUUCGAGAGUGCGCAUGACGCAUAAAAGUCCUUUCCAGCUAAAAAAAAAAAAAAAAAAAAAAAGAAGGAAAAAUAAUGGUACAUAAAUGUCCAUAUGUCUUAUCUUUGAAUAUUACUUAUACCGCAAUUAAGUAUAUUGCAUUUUAAUAUUUAAGAUUUGGGAUAAUUACACUUUCAAAUUUUGUUUAAAAUUUUACAA